UACGUAGGGUGCAAGCGUUAAUCGGAAUUACUGGGCGUAAAGCGUGCGCAGGCGGUUUUGCAAGCCAGAUGUGAAAUCCCCGGGCUUAACCUGGGAAUGGCAUUUGGGACUGCAAGGCUCGAGUGCGGCAGAGGAGACUGGAAUUCCUGGUGUAGCAGUGAAAUGCGUAGAUAUCAGGAGGAACACCGAUGGCGAAGGCAGGUCUCUGGGCUGACACUGACGCUCAUGCACGAAAGCGUGGGGAGCAAACAGG
rnacentral:rRNA from 1 species